CUCGCUUUGAACUCGUCGUGUUCGCGAACAUGGAGGCCGCGGAGGCUCAUUCUUCAUCAAAUGACAGUAGUGUCUCCCAGAGGACAUGGCCUGUCUUCCCAGGACACACACCACUCGGUCAAAUCUCUCUGGAUUGUCUGGAAGCAGCUGGUGUUUGUCUCCACAUUUCACCUGCAGGAGAAAAACCAACAACAAGCUCGUCGUUGAACUUCUCCACCAGCGCUGCCAGCGUCCUGUAGAUGCUUCCUGUUCCCAGGUUAGAGUUCAACGACACUCCAGACCAGUUUUUGGCGGGUGGAGGACUGGAGAGCUUGGGGAACGUCUGGCAGAAAAGAAAAAGAAAAAGAAAGAAGACUGAAAUGAUGCUGGAGGACUCCAGGAAUGCUGAGAUUCCGUGCUGAGAUCCUCACCGACCUGGACGCAGUGACCGUGGUCGUCGGACUGCGCGAGUUUGGCGAGGGCCUUCUCUCUGCGCCGCAGCUCCUCCACCUCCUGCUCCAGCUGUCGGAUCAUGGCGUCGGCCUGGUGCGCGGCCGCUCGCCGGCUCAGCUCCAUCACCUCCAUCAGCUCCGCCUGGGAUCGCUCCACGGCGGAGACCAGAGCGGAGAAGAGGCAGACGCUUCCCGCCGUCUCUCGCUCCACCGCCGACUGAGGAGAGAAAACGCGUGAGGAGACGUCGGAUCCUUCGAGACACGCUUUCAAAAGAAUCCAGCACCGCUCUCAGGAUGGCGGCUACAGCCACAGCGCCGGGGUCGGGCAGGGUGACCCGCUCUGCGGCGAUAUAGCUGGCUCGCCCCGCCCUCGCUGUGAGGUCACGGGUUGCCUCCGCCCCCGAGGCUGCUUUCUGGAGAAAAGUGAUUUGGGAGUUUCACUCAAGAGUUGUACCUCUGGCGCGCUGAGCGUGAGUGUUCCCACAAUCUCCGUCCCCGGCAGCACGAUCCAGGGAGUUGAGUUCCUCCUGUUUUUCCAACAGCGUGGAACAAACGCGCUCUAAUGCGUCACGCAUCACACAACUCAGUGGACCUACAGAAAAUAAAACAAGUCACUGUCCCCCGCACUCAUCAUCUCUUACCGAGCCCCAGCUCCAUGUCCCCCGCCGGCAGGUCAAAUGACGGCAGGCAGCCGGGGACGCUGCACGGAGACAGACUCACCCCCAGUGUCCCUGAACGAAAACAAACACGGAGUUUGGUGUUUGGUUUGGAAAAGUAUCGCUCGCGGUGACCACAGAGGAAAGAGCUGGAGGAGGUGAAAACUCACCGAUCCCUUUUAAGACCGCCGUCACUUUGGCAACAAUCUGGUCCAACGAGGAGCCGUCUUCUGCCAUGGCACCUGCCAGCUGACAGGAAGUGAGUGAAGGGAAGUUAAGAAGAGAGCUGUGAGUGUAAGUCAGCUUCUCCCGCCAACAUGGCGGAGUAAACAAGCCGAGUCAUGUGACGUGUGGUUUAUUUUACCACACCGUGUGCAUGAAAGUCAUUAUUCACGGUUUGUUCACCUUG